rnacentral:rRNA from 1 species
GACGAACGCUGGCGGCGUGCCUAAUACAUGCAAGUAGGACGCAGUCGCGAACGGGAGACUAACGCGUAGGUAACUACCUAUUAGUGGGGGAUAACUAUUGGAAACGAUAACUCAUACCGCAUACUAGUAGAUGGACCUGCGUUGUAUUAGCUAGUAGGUCGGGUAAUGGCCUCCAUAGGCAACGAUACAUAGCCGACGCGAGAGGGGGAUCGGCGAACAUGGGACGGGGACACGGCACAGACUCCUACGGGAGGCAGCAGUAGGGAAGCUUCGGAAAUGGGGGGAACCAUGACCGAGCAACGCCGCGGGAGUGAAGAAGGUUUUCGGAUCGUAAAGCGCUGUUGUGAAGGAAGCGGUACUUAACCAAAAAGGGACGGCUAACUACGUGCCAGCAGCCGCGGUAAUAC